ensembl:lncRNA
CUUCCUUGGUGGCUCAGAUGGUAAAGCAUCUGCCUACAAUGUGGGAGACCUGGGUUGGGAAAAACCUGCCUCCCCCACUCUACCCCCACCACCAGAGAAGGAAAUGGCAACCCACUCCAGCAUUCUUGCCUGGAGAAUCGCACGGAUGGAGUUUCAGGUGGACAGCAAAGGGACUCAGCCACACAUACACAUGUGUCCAUUCUCCCCCAAAACUCCCCUUCCAUCCAGGCUACCACAUAACAUUGAGCAGAGUUCCCUGUGCUACACGGGUGGAGGCUUCCAGGCCUUUAAGGUGGACCCAACUGCUAUGCUCGUGGGAGAGGAAAAGUGGAGGAGUGAAGGGUCAAGAGCACCGUGGCCCAGAGAGUGAGUGAGGCUGGCCCUUCAUGCAGUGGUCCUUCCACUGAUGACGUCUUCCCGGAGGACGAGAGGAAAGGAAGCAAACAGACAGAAGUGUUUCCUUCUUGGCUCCCCCUGCUUGACAGGUGAAAACUUGGAGAUCUUGGUCAGCUUUGCAAAUGCAGUCUGAAGGAGUACUGGGUCUUGGGGUGAGUCACCAGUGUCCAAGCCUGGAAGGCCUCCUCCCUCAUGUCCUCAGCAGCUGCCCUCCCCUCCCCAGCUUCAGCCAGGGGGCCUCUGAAGCCAGACCAGCACCGCCUCUUCCCCAGGUGGCCCUCGGCAGUACUGGAGGAGCUGGUGUGAGAAGCUGGCUUCUCCAACUCCUUCUUGAGCAGCAUCCUUUAUGGCUGCACAUCAGGGAGGAACUUGCAGCUGAGAAAGGGGAGUCCGGGGCAUCCGGGGACAGGCCGGCCGCAGCGAGAGGCAGCAUGUUCCUGCAACCCUGGGAAGUCGAAAGAUGAAGGCAUGACUGCAUUUUCAGGACACAUUAAAGUCAUGCCUCAUGAUUGCUCUGUGUUUGACACUUAUCAGGCCUCUCUGGGUAAUCUGAAUAACAACUUUUUAUAAGGGGAAGUCAUCCAGCCACUCAAACAAAAAACAUACAGGUCCCCUUGCUGUAUGGGGGACCUCUCCUCCCCCACUGAACCUGCCUCUGUGUCUGGUCUCCCUGAAGCAGGUUGAUUUCACGAAGAGUAUAAUCAGCCCACACUCAGUCUCUGGUUAAAAGGCAUUAUUAAUUUUAGAUUUUCUUUCUUUCAAAAGCUUCUUAUUUACCAAAUAGCUCCCUACACAUUUCUAUGACACUAAAAUCAGUGUGGGAGGAGGGAUGGAAUACAGCCUGGGGAUGUGGGUACUGAGACAGGACUGGGAGAGCAGAAACUGGAGUUUGGGGUCUAAUUGAAUAUUUAUUUAUUUGUUUAUUUAUGUUUGGGUACAGCAUGUGGCUUGCAGGCUGUUAGUUUCCUGACCAGGGGUCGAACCUGUGGCCCUUGCAGUGGAAGCUGGGAGACUGAAUCGCUGGACUGCCAGGAAAGUCCUCUUACCAGAUAUUUAGUCUCUGGAAAACUAAGUGGCUCUCUCAACGCAGCUGGGGUUUAAAUCAUGCAAUGUGGGCGAUGCUCUUUGUACGUAGUAUUCUGGUCAUCCUUCUUUUCCUUCUAGUUUCUGCUGCUGCAGCUUCUGUUGUUAUAAAGUCCAUCGGGAGAAAUAUCUGGCCAGAUGGUCAGCAAGAGGAACAGGAAGCUCGUUAGUUUUCUAACCCUCCUUCCGGCUUGGAUCCUCCCCUAUGACAUCUAUCAUGGUGCCUUGCCUAGGAUUGCUCAGAGCUGGUGGAGGGAGAGCUGAGUUUGCCC